AGGAAUUGUCACGGAUUAGAACAAACCGAAUACAAUGAAAAUGGUGUUACUCCAUGCUGCUAACAGACCUGCACAAACAAAUAUAAUGCUGCUGUUAAAAGUAUCAAAGUUCAGCUCCGUUCCUCUACAAUUUUCAUCAAAUUGCUUGUCUGCAAAGACUUAUGUCAUCAGCUGUAUCUAUAAUUCGGUGUUGACCAUCCCUAGUGGAUUCGAUAUGUUAUAAUCAAGAAGGCUGUGUGUUAUUAUAUUAGGCAGAGCAACUACUUUUAACCAUGUAAAACUCCUCCUGCAGAGCAAUUACAGUACCAACUCAGUAGAUAUUUCAAGAGAACUAGGAGUGGCAGGGGAAACUUAUAGUCAAAUGGUUCUUUUAGUUGAGCAACAAGAAUCAGUAGUGGCUUUUGACAUUCAGAAUCUCAGAUUGCUAUAGAGACUAGUCUUGCAACAAGUAACCAGAAAAUUAAUCCAAAGGGGAUAUGAUUGUAGGUGUGUAACUGUUUAACCAAAGAUAGUUUGGAUUCAUCCUGUUAUAGAACUUCUGGGUUGCAAAAGUUGACAGCAUGAAAUUGUAGAACUACAAAUCAGAUUAUCUAUAUGAUACAGAUUAUGUGUUA